GAUGAACGCUGGCGGCGUGCCUAAUACAUGCAAGUCGAACGAGUUCUGAUUAUUGAAAGGUGCUUGCAUCUUGAUUUAAUUUUGAACGAGUGGCGGACGGGUGAGUAACACGUGGGUAACCUGCCCUUAAGUGGGGGAUAACAUUUGGAAACAGAUGCUAAUACCGCAUAAAUCCAAGAACCGCAUGGUUCUUGGCUGAAAGAUGGCGUAAGCUAUCGCUUUUGGAUGGACCCGCGGCGUAUUAGCUAGUUGGUGAGGUAACGGCUCACCAAGGCAAUGAUACGUAGCCGAACUGAGAGGUUGAUCGGCCACAUUGGGACUGAGACACGGCCCAAACUCCUACGGGAGGCAGCAGUAGGGAAUCUUCCACAAUGGACGCAAGUCUGAUGGAGCAACGCCGCGUGAGUGAAGAAGGCUUUCGGGUCGUAAAACUCUGUUGUUGGAGAAGAAUGGUCGGCAGAGUAACUGUUGUCGGCGUGACGGUAUCCAACCAGAAGGCCACGGCUAACUACGUGCCAGCAGCCGCGGUAAUACGUAGGUGGCAAGCGUUAUCCGGAUUUAUUGGGCGUAAAGCGAGCGCAGGCGGUUUUUUAAGUCUGAUGUGAAAGCCCUCGGCUUAACCGAGGAAGUGCAUCGGAAACUGGGAAACUUGAGUGCAGAAGAGGACAGUGGAACUCCAUGUGUAGCGGUGAAAUGCGUAGAUAUAUGGAAGAACACCAGUGGCGAAGGCGGCUGUCUGGUCUGUAACUGACGCUGAGGCUCGAAAGCAUGGGUAGCGAACAGG
rnacentral:rRNA from 2 species